rnacentral:rRNA from 1 species
GCGGACGGGUGAGUAAUGUCUGGGAAACUGCCUGAUGGAGGGGGAUAACUACUGGAAACGGUGGCUAAUACCGCAUAACGUCGCAAGACCAAAGAGGGGGACCUUCGGGCCUCUUGCCAUCAGAUGUGCCCAGAUGGGAUUAGCUUGUUGGUGAGGUAACGGCUCACCAAGGCGGCGAUCCCUAGCUGGUCUGAGAGGAUGACCAGCCACACUGGAACUGAGACACGGUCCAGACUCCAACGGGAGGCAGCAGUGGGGAAUAUUGCACAAUGGGCGCAAGCCUGAUGCAGCCAUGCCGCGUGUAUGAAGAAGGCCUUCGGGUUGUAAAGUACUUUCAGCGGGGAGGAAGGUGUUGUGGUUAAUAACCGCAGCAAUUGACGUUACCCGCAGAAGAAGCACCGGCUAACUCCGUGCCAGCAGCCGCGGUAAUACGGAGGGUGCAAGCGUUAAUCGGAAUUACUGGGCGUAAAGCGCACGCAGGCGGUCUGUCAAGUCGGAUGUGAAAUCCCCGGGCUCAACCUGGGAACUGCAUUCGAAACUGGCAGGCUUGAGUCUUGUAGAGGGGGGUAGAAUUCCAGGUGUAGCGGUGAAAUGCGUAGAGAUCUGGAGGAAUACCGGUGGCGAAGGCGGCCCCCUGGACAAAGACUGACGCUCAGGUGCGAAAGCGUGGGGAGCAAACAGGAUUAGAUACCCUGGUAGUCCACGCCGUAAACGAUGUCUACUUGGAGGUUGUGCCCUUGAGGCGUGGCUUCCGGAGCUAACGCGUUAAGUAGACCGCCUGGGGAGUACGGCCGCAAGGUUAAAACUCAAAUGAAUUGACGGGGGCCCGCACAAGCGGUGGAGCAUGUGGUUUAAUUCGAUGCAACGCGAAGAACCUUACCUGGUCUUGACAUCCACAGAACUUUCCAGAGAUGGAUUGGUGCCUUCGGGAACUGUGAGACAGGUGCUGCAUGGCUGUCGUCAGCUCGUGUUGUGAAAUGUUGGGUUAAGUCCCGCAACGAGCGCAACCCUUAUCCUUUGUUGCCAGCGGUCCGGCCGGGAACUCAAAGGAGACUGCCAGUGAUAAACUGGAGGAAGGUGGGGAUG